rnacentral:rRNA from 1 species
CACGUAGGGGCCAAGCGUUGUCCGGAUUUAUUGGGCGUAAAGAGCUCGUAGGCGGUUCGACAAGUCGGGUGUGAAAACUCCGGGCUCAACCCGGAGACGCCACCCGAUACUGUCGUGACUGGAGUCCGGUAGGGGAGUGGGGAAUUCCUGGUGUAGCGGUGAAAUGCGCAGAUAUCAGGAAGAACACCCGUGGCGAAGGCGGCUCUCUGGGACGGUACUGACGCUGAGACGCGAAAGCGUGGGGAGCGAACCGG